rnacentral:rRNA from 1 species
UACGAAGGGGGCUAGCGUUGCUCGGAAUCACUGGGCGUAAAGCGCACGUAGGCGGCUUUUUAAGUCAGGGGUGAAAUCCUGGAGCUCAACUCCAGAACUGCCUUUGAUACUGAGAAGCUUGAGUCCGGGAGAGGUGAGUGGAACUGCGAGUGUAGAGGUGAAAUUCGUAGAUAUUCGCAAGAACACCCGUGGCGAAGGCGGCCAACUGGGCCGGACCUGACGCUGAGGCGCGAAGGCGUGGGGAGCGAACGGG